GGGCCCGCACAAGCGGUGGAGCAUGUGGUUUAAUUCGAUGAUACGCGAGGAACCUUACCAGGACUUAAAUGUAAGUUGCAUGAUUCAGAAAUGAAUCUUUCUUCGGACUACUUACAAGGUGCUGCAUGGUUGUCGUCAGCUCGUGCCGUGAGGUGUCAGGUUAAGUCCUAUAACGAGCGCAACCCCUAUCGUUAGUUGCCAUCAAGUAAAGUUGGGAACUCUAGCGAAACUGCCGGUGUAAACCGAGAGGAAGGUGGGGAUGACGUCAAAUCAUCACGGCCCUUACGUGUUGGGCUACACACGUGCUACAAUGGUAUCUACAACAGAGGGAAGCCACCCCGCGAGGGGAG
rnacentral:rRNA from 1 species